UACGAAGGGGGCUAGCGUUGUUCGGAUUUACUGGGCGUAAAGCGCACGUAGGCGGAUCGUUAAGUCGGGGGUGAAAUCCUGGAGCUCAACUCCAGAACUGCCUUCGAUACUGGCGAUCUUGAGUCCGGAAGAGGUGAGUGGAACUCCUAGUGUAGAGGUGGAAUUCGUAGAUAUUAAGAAGAACACCAAUAACAAAAACAACUCACUAAUCCAAUACUAACACUAAAAUACGAAAGCAUAAAAAGCAAACAGG
rnacentral:rRNA from 1 species